rfam:Bhargavaea cecembensis DSE10 contig000007, whole genome shotgun sequence.
UGACUGCGAUGAAGCGGGAGGUUGCUGACACACCCGGCCGCUUUGCCAUGGCGGUGUGCAGGAGAUUUCCGUGGAGAAUUGUCUUGAAAAAAGGCGA